GCCCCUGUAACUCAGCUGGUUAGAGUAGCGGACUUUUAAUCCGCGAGUCGUGGGUUCGAAUCCCACCGGGGGCA
rnacentral:tRNA from 1 species